UGGGGAAUUUUGCACAAUGGAGGAAACUCUGAUGCAGCGACGCCGCGUGAACGAAGAAGGUUUUCGGAUCGUAAAGUUCUGUCCUGGGUGAAGAUAAUGACGGUAAUCCAGGAGGAAGCCCCGGCUAACUACGUGCCAGCAGCCGCGGUAAUACGUAGGGGGCGAGCGUUGUUCGGAAUUAUUGGGCGUAAAGGGUACGUAGGCGGCUUGUUAAGUUUGGCGUUAAAUUCUGGGGCUCAACCCCAGCAAGCGUUGAAAACUGGCGAGCUUGAGUAGUAGAGGGGACAGUGGAAUUCCUAGUGUAGCGGUGAAAUGCGUAGAGAUUAGGAAGAAUACCGGUGGCGAAGGCGACUGUCUGGAUACAUACUGACGCUGAGGUACGAAAGCGUGGGGAGCAAACAGG
rnacentral:rRNA from 1 species